GAUGAGCCCGCGUCAUAUUAGAUAGUUGGUGAGGUAAUGGCUCACCUAGGCGACUAUCCAUAUCUGGUCUGAGAGGAUGAUCAGCCACACUGGGACUGAGACACGGCCAGACUCCUACGGGAGGAAGCAGUGAGGAAUAUUGUACAAUGGGCGAAAGCCUGAUCCACCCAUGCCGCGUGAGUGAUGGAGGCCUUACGGUUGUAAAACUCUUUCAGUAGGGAAGAUAAUGACGGUACCUACAGAAGAAGCCCCGGCUAAUUUUUGUGCACAGCCGCAGUAAUACAAAGGGGGCUAGCGUUGUUCGGAUUUACCGGGCGUAAAACGCACCUUAGGGCGAUCGUUAACUCGGGGGUGAAAUCCUGGGACUCAACUCCAAAACUGCCUUCAAUAAUGGCGAUUCUUGAUCCAGAAAAGUGGGGGGAACUCCCAGUGGAAAGGUGGAUUUCUAAAAAUUUAGAAAAACACCAUUGGGGAAAGGCGGCCCCCUGGUCCCGGUACUGACCCCUGAGGUGUCAAAACCGGGGGGAACCAAAAAGGGAUUAGAAUCCCCCGGGUGGCCCCCCCCCCCUACAACUUAUUAGAACUCUCCCCCCUUUGAAAAAUUUUUACUCUUUUAGUGGGGGCCCACCUUAAAGACAUU
rnacentral:rRNA from 1 species